CUCACUGGGAAACUCCAUAGCGGUGUCCGCAUAGCCCCUCACAGGGUCCUCGCGGUUUGUCCCAUAGGUCCGUCUAUUGCCCAUUAAUUGGAAACGAAGCUCUUUUGUGGAUCUCCUGCACUUAUCCGCUCCACACAACUGCCUGUCUGCACUGUGAAGGUGUACACUUCCCAUUAGGAUUGUGCAAAGUAAAUGGAUCUCAGUUGCUUAUCAAUUGCUCAAGAAAAUUAUUGGGACUUCUGCCAAAAAAGGAUGCUGUGGACCACUUUUGAAGCAAGAUCCCUGAGUUAUUCAUGGCAAUAAUCAAACACAUGACAACUACUAAGUGUUGCGUGAGAGAGAAGUCAUCCUUUUUAUACCACUGCCAAACACGUUAUGAAGGAAACAUAAUUGCCACCUUUGAUAAUGUUUUGCUGAGUGAAGAAACUACUACAUUAUUACUACAUUUGGUUAAAUGUAAACAAAGUAAACACUGCAAUUCUUGUUAGUUUUUUUCUUGCCAUUUUGCAUCCAUCCACCAGAUGCUCUUGGACUUUCCCUCCUUUCCCCAUCACCUAACUGCCCCACCCAUCUACACACCUGUUCCCACUUCUCAGCAGCUAACACACACACAGUCAGUUUAUCAAAGUUGCAACGUGGUUUUCUGUCAUCUAUUUUGAGUCUCUGUUACCUGCCUCCCUGGACCUAAUCUGGACUCCUGACUUUUUUCCUGCUUCCAGCCUGAUCAAGUCUUUACUCCUGCAUGUAAGUCUAC